CAGUAUCUCAUGGAGCCUCAUUAUCAUGCCCGGGCCAGGGUCGCCAAAAAGCCUCUGCAAGCAGGUGUUGUCCGGCACAGAAUCAAGAAGGAACCUGAGGUACGGAGAAGACAACGCACCAUAGCUUCGGAGCUGUGGGACUCUACGCUGCUGCCAGCUUCUCUGGAGGAUGGAGAAGCUGACAGAAUACAGUGGGUUACAGAACGAACAGGGAUGAUCCUGGGACUGUCAGGGAAGUCAAGGAAACAAGUUUAAUUCAACGGAGGUUCUGGGCACUGAAUUCAGGUCCAUGAGCUUGGCCGGCAAGCACUUCCUGCCUCAGCAUUCCCCGGUGGUGCUAUGGAGUCUUUAAAGAGGUAGUGAUGCCAUCAGCAGAGGCCCUACAUCAGCAGUGCUAGUGUCCAUGCAAGAAGAGGACACAGGGGCACACAUGCUCACACUGGUGAGUCUAUGGGAAGGCACGAGGAGAGGACAGCCAUCUAGACACCAAGGAGAGUGAGCAGGAAGACCCCACUGACAGCUGGAUCUCAGACUUCUGAUCUCCAAGUUUUGGAGAAAAUAAAAUUCUAUUGUUGAAGUGCU
rnacentral:lncRNA from 1 species